AUUGAACGCUGGCGGCAGGCCUAACACAUGCAAGUCGAGCGGAUGAGAAGAGCUUGCUCUUCGAUUCAGCGGCGGACGGGUGAGUAAUGCCUAGGAAUCUGCCUGGUAGUGGGGGACAACGUUUCGAAAGGAACGCUAAUACCGCAUACGUCCUACGGGAGAAAGCAGGGGACCUUCGGGCCUCGCGCUACCAGAUGAGCCUAGGUCGGGUUAGCUAGUUGGUGAGGUAAUGGCUCACCAAGGCGACGAUCCGUAACUGGUCUGAGAGGAUGAUCAGUCACACUGGAACUGAGACACGGUCCAGACUCCUACGGGAGGCAGCAGUGGGGAAUAUUGGACAAUGGGCGAAAGCCUGAUCCAGCCAUGCCGCGUGUGUGAAGAAGGUCUUCGGAUUGUAAAGCACUUUAAGUUGGGAGGAAGGGCAGUAAGUUAAUACCUUGCUGUUUUGACGUUACCGACAGAAUAAGCACCGGCUAACUCUGUGCCAGCCGCCGCAGUAA
rnacentral:rRNA from 1 species